CUGCAGGCACAUCGCUCGAGUGGGCAGUGUCACUACUAAUGAGAGUGGCGACAUGACGGGUCCAAAAAAUUUUGGUCACGUGAUCUAUAGGAGCCAUUUUGUUUCCUAUUUAUGAACGCCGGUUAUGCCUGUUAACGUUGUUUACAACGCAGAGAGUAAUUCUUGGACUUUUUUGGCUUCAUAAAUACCUGAAAAAUGACGGGCUGUUGUGCCUUUGGGUACACAAAUCGAUCCGAGAAGGGAUUACACAUGUUUAGAUUUCCCAGGAGUAGUGAAAGAAUGAAACUGUGGGAAAAUAAAGUCCGGAGAGUGGGAUGGAAACCGACUUCAUCAUGAUUUUUGUACCAGGUUAGUCCCAUAUAUGUACUUUCAUGUUAUGAUGUAUGGGUGAAUGACAGAUAGAAAAGUUUGAUGUGAUUUUAGGCAGUUGUGGUUAUUUUGACUUUGACCAUUUUCAUGCAUGGAGAUGCAUGAAAUAUGGGCCGCUGAAAUUUAACGGGGUAACCCGUUAAACUUCAGCGGCCCAUCUGAGCUUCGACAACAGCCUCCCUGUUCAUUCACAUGAUUUCGAAUUCAACAAACAGCUGACAGUUUUCUGUUUCCUAUUUUCUGUUUUCCGUCCAACCUGCAGUCACUUAUCAGCCUCAUAUGACCCGAACAGGCUCCGUCUUCACCUGUUUCUGGGCUGUUAGCCAUAUGCUUACAGCUGCAGCAGCGUACAGGCGGACGGGAAAACGUAUUUUACUAAAUUUACCGAAGCUGCAAACUCGAUGAUAGAAACAUUAUACACCCAUGGAAAGCUUAGAUUCUCAUGAAUCCGCCGGUAUAAACCACUUUCAGAUGUGAUUACCACAGCGGGUAAUAUAAACACAUUUGUCCAACAAACAGCAAAUAACGUAAACAGCACAACUCACCUUUGAAGGCUCAAAACUAGUCACAGAUGAAAAUAUUCAACUAAAAACUAGUGAUGGGACGAACAACACUGGUGCGUCAGCACUGUGCCGAGCACACAAUAGCGAAACCUCGUAUUGGUGCGUGUAUCGCUUUAAGAAAAAAAUCACGUGACCGAUACAGGGAGUGUGUCGUUUGGAUGUGCGGCGCCAAAUUGCGUUUAUAAAGAAACAAGCUGUAUCGACAUGUAUUGUUGCUGUGUCUGUUUUCCCUCACCUUGUUCAACUUCUGACUUCAUGGAUCAUUCCACUAAGAAGAAGUUUUCCCCGGUCUGGAAUCAUUUUGAUCUUUUGACGGCAAAUAAGGUAAAUCUUUUUCUCCUUUGAACAUUGUUUACUGUUAGUUAUUUUUAAUUAAAUAUGUUUCUACUCUUUUCUGUAAAAGGUUUGAAUUGUUUUCAGAUAGAUUAACUUUUUAUUUUAUUGUAGGUGAAGUGUCGGCUCUGCUCCACGGAGCUAUCUUACAUCAAUAAGAGCACUUCAUCAAUGCUGAGGCAUUAUAGGCAUUAUAGUAAUAAUUGACUUUACUGCCAUUAUCUGCUUCUCUAACAUAUAUUAGUGUGUGUGUGUUUACAGUGUUUGCAAAAUGCAUGUCUACAGUCGAGCUUAAUAUCAGAAUAUUCUAUUUCUGUUAUUCCCGCUAUGAAUAUUAAAAUACGCAGAACCAUUUGUCCUGUAUCAUAGCUACAUGUAUGACGUUUGCAGCAAAAACAAUAAAAAUAAAAACACGUGAAAAUCAGUUUAAUAUUCAGAGUUAAGAUGGAUUAAAUGCGCUGUCAAAAAGCGCUGAGUGGAGCGGCUGACCGGACCAACAGGGCGGCCGUAUUUCUCGCUGCGCAGCACCCUGAGCGGCGUCUACUCUGUUGCGCGAGCAAAGCACAUUGGGAAAUGGGUACCAAUAAUAGCUAAAUUAGAGUUAUUAUUUCGUUUUGGUUUUCCUGUUUAUUAUUUGUUCUGUUUUGGGUUGGACAAUGGAAAUCAAACACCAAUCCCUCAAUUUUUGGUCAUACAAAAAAACAGGAAAAUGAAAUAUCAAGUGAUUAUUUUGUUUUCCGUUUGCCAGGUUGAAUGGAAUACUGGAAUGGUCGGAUGAUCCACGGACCCCCUAACCCUGUUAUCCGUUUUGUCCAUUUUCCAAUUGUGCACAAAAUCGGAAAUCGAUAAAAGGAUUCGUUAUCCUUUUUUGAGGGGGGGGGGGGGGGGGGGUCUGGAAACAAAUAUUGAAAAAAACGAGUCAUUCCGUUUUUUUGGUUUUGGUUUUAUUUUGAAAAAAGAAUGAACGAAUGAUACACAGAUUCAGCAUGUGAGUUUUUCCAUCUUAUUUCAUUGUGCUUACUUGCAAUGAUUUUAGAACUACUGUAGAGGUCACUAUUGAGUGACCAACACAGUGUCAAUACAGUGCCAACACAGUUUGGGUAGUGUGUCAAUACACUCCUUGAGGCAUCAUCAUCCCAUCACUACUAAAAACGGCCAUAAUCCAACCUUGGACAUCCAGACAAUACAAGCCAGUAAAUUAUUUUGUCCAAAACGUGUCUUAAAAUCAAUAAACAAUCCAUAGUUUUCGUGAAUGUCCACCUCGCGCUGCGCGUCCCAUAUUGAGUGAAUGGAAAAAAAAUGGCUUCAAAUCCCCAGUUGUCGCCACUCUGGGACAACUACGCCGCCUGCUGUCAGAAAGAAUUCCCUGCAUGUGUAACAGUAGCAAAGGAUUAUGGGUAAUCCUCAGAGCAACGGAGGAUUUAUGAAGAGGUAACAUGUCUGUAAAUGUCUGUGGGCAAAACAAUGCUAACUUCGUUCAUAACUGUGUAGAAGUUUUGCUGGCUUUAACUGGUUACUUUUUGUGUGUCCCAGAAUCAUUUCGCCAUGUGUUUUUGAAGCUGACUGUGCGUUUGGAUGUGUUUUAUCGUUGUAAAAAAUUCUACUGCGUAGCUAGCUACCGCUAACACGAUGCCGUUUUUAUGUGUUUUAUCGUUGUAAAAAAAUUCUACUGCGUAGCUAGCUACCGCUAACACGAUGCCGUUUUUCUGGACAGAGCACAUGCUGUCGCCCACAAGAUGACGAUUUACUGAACUCCAUUGUCCUUUGUUAUGAACGCAGGUAUGUUAGUGUGUCCCUCUAUAAUGUGAUGUUAGUUAUUGCUGUUAUUGCUGGAUGUUAGAAAUAUGUCAAUGAGUUAUAUUCGCCGGUUUUUAUUAAUUGUAUUUUGUACUGUGUUAGCUGUUGUGAAUAUAUGAAAUAUAAAAAACAAGGGUAACAGUCCAGGAAAUUUUAUAUUAUUAUAAUAAUUUCUUGUAAUUUUCCCUCAAAUAAUCAAGAGGACACUUUCUGUUUUCAUGAGUUUAUUUUAUUGUCUUACCUAAAUUUAAUCCACUAUACGAUCACUUUCUUUAUUUAUGUAUUGUACUGAGUGUAAAGAGAUAUGAAGGGGUAAUCCUCAGAGCAACGGAGGAUUUAUGAAGAGAGCACAUGCUGUCGCCCACAAGAUGACGAUUUACUGAACUCCAUUGUCCUUUGUUAUGAACGCAGAAAAGGGAAUAAACCUGCUGUUGCCACCAGGCUGACCAGCUCCUGAUCGUCAUUUUAGAAAGGAAGACAUCUCACAUGGGUUACACACACACACACACACACAUACAUAUAUGAUUAUUCUCUUUUGUAUCUUUUUUGUCUUUUGGCCCCUUCACACCACAGACCCUGUAACUGUAAGUAGGCAACACUCCAAAGAUUUAUCCAAAUGGUAGUUUAAGUGUACUGAAACAUGUCACUGAUCUAGGAUGAAGAGGAUGAAACUGUGUCUGCUGCCUUUACAGAGGGGGGUCCAGAAAGGCAUACAGAGAGCAUGGCUGGACAGCAGCAGGAUGGUUCCUCAGCUUCCACUGCACAGACUGACAGUGAGAUGUAUGUUCAGGAAACACCAGAGGUUCAUUCUGUGGAAUUCAUGUGCAACUGUAUAAUUUAAUGUCCUCUAUGUAUUCCCAGUUAUCAGUAAAACAGAUUUACAAACUGCAUUUGCUGAGAAAAAUCCAAAACAACAGAUUAGGAGGGCAGAUCUGGAAAUUGAAAUACUGGAGUACAAGUUAGAGGUGGGUCAUGGUCACAGGUGAAUUAUGUUAACUACUGGAACAUGAACUGAACUAUCUGUUUUAUUUGUAGGAAAUAAAAAAGACCAAAUGAAA